rnacentral:rRNA from 1 species
UACGGAGGAUGCAAGCGUUAUCCGGAAUGAUUGGGCGUAAAGCGUCCGCAGGUGGCUGUGUAAGUCUGCUGUCAAAGAGCAAAGCUCAACUUUGUAAAGGCAGUGGAAACUACACGGCUAGAGUGCGUUCGGGGCAGAGGGAAUUCCUGGUGUAGCGGUGAAAUGCGUAGAGAUCAGGAAGAACACCGGUGGCGAAGGCGCUCUGCUAGGCCGCAACUGACACUGAGGGACGAAAGCGUGGGUAGCGAACAGG